ensembl:lncRNA
AAAUGUUUGCCCGGCCCGGAAAAAUUGAACCACCAAUCUGCAGAACCAGCGAAGGAGGAUUUGGAUGGAAAUGAAAGCAAAAUAGGACAUUAAUGGAGAUAAUAGUGUGAUUAUUUAAUAACAAAACCACAUCUGUGUUGCACUGUCACGCAAAUGCAAAUUGCCACUAUUUAAAGCGCGGUUGCUACUUUCUUUCUUUUUUUUUGUCUUCCACACAACUACAUUCACGCAGUUCCACAAUCACGUUCAUCACAACAGUUUGGACGGAUGCAACUCGAUUAUCUCUAAAGACGCGACGCACGAAAGCCUUCAGCAGCGUUUCACAACCGUGACAUGUUGACACUUUAUUUCCCCACAUUUCCUGAGAGCUAUAGCUUUGCAGCUAUCUUCCUCGUUUUGACUUCCUCUUUGCAGCGUGAGGCUCGAUGGUCAAAGGAAUUGUCUUGCGCACGGAGUCAUCACUGCGAACUCCUGCGAGGGGAAGAGGAGCGUCGCAGUCUCACCCCGGCGCUGCUGCAGCGUCGAGAGAUCCCACCACGCAGAGCCAUCUUUGAUGUGGCGGGAUCAGGCCCCCCACUUAGUGUAUUUGACAAGCUGAGUUGGACACUCUGUAUCUCUGAGUGUCAGUUUGUCAAAUACCCCAAGUGAGGUGUCACUUGUCUACAAACAGUGACCCGUCCUCGGCCGACUGCACGGACUGACCAGCCGGCUCCCCGCCGCGCUCCGCCCCGCUGACCGGCUCCGGGUUUGUGUGUCGUCAUGGUGUAAUCUGUCAUUUGUUUAUUGGAUCCAACGAAAGAACAGAAACAUUAAUUUAUCCUGUGACAAUCCAAAUGAGUGUAAUGAAUGAUGCAAUAAAGGUUACACAGAGAUUUUUAACCAAAUUGAAGUGUGCCAGUGAAGGAAUGUUCUUUUUCAGUGUUUUUAUUCGUAGGUCUGUAGUCUCUUCACUGCCCAACUCAGCCAAAACAUUUAGGAGAGGUAAGGCUGCUCUGAAAUUCGACCCUCUGUCGUGGUGUGAUUUUCUUUUUGCAGUUUGAAGAGGUUAAUGCGAUACUUUGAUCCAAACUGUUGAAAUCCACCUUCAAUGUGACGUCCGAGUUUACUCAUUUGUUCCAGGCGACUAAAACAUGCACGCUAAUGAGCAUUUUCAAUGGGAUGUGUAUCCAAUUGCAUUUUCUUGUUAUGUAGCAAAUUAAUGCUCUAGACAAAAUGAUCGGUAUCUAAAAGACCAAAUGCAGGACAAGCCUUUUGUAAGACGGAGCAAAGACGGAGCAAAACAUGUAUUCAGUGUCCUCUCCCAUUCAACAUGUGGGAGCCAGUCUUUGCAACUUCAGCAUCAAGAACUGAAGCCUUGUUUUGGAAACUUGAGGUAAAUAAUAAAUACACAAAUGCCCCAAAAUGUUCUCUGAAUCUUUUACAGACUCAUUGUGUGAUAAUAACAUCUGUAAAAAUGUGUAUGACAGUGUAUGAUGUUUGUAGGCAGAUGGGUGAUCUAUUUAUUGUUCUUCUUAUCCUCCAUUUGAUGGCGCUUAUCGGUCCGUCCCCUGUUUCCUGUUCCUGUGGCUGCCCAAGAACGUUGCCAGCGUGUGCGUGCGUGUGUGUGUGUGUGUGUGUGUGUGUGUGUGUGUGUGUGAACAAAUACGUGUACUUGUGUGAUCUUUUAAAUGUCUUAACCUGGUAACCGUUCACCUAAUCAUUGUGGUUGAGAAUCGGCAGAAAAGCAGACUUGCACACUGCCGAAAAGGCGGCGCACAUCCUGCUAUUUUGACACAGUGCAUUUGAAACACUACGCAUUGGGAAAUGGGUGAUGGGGUGCACAGUAAGUGCAUGUCUACUGCUGUGCAUCAUCACACGGGG